rnacentral:rRNA from 1 species
ACAACAGACGGAAACGACUGCUAAUACCGAAUAAGUUCCAAGAGCCGCAUGGCCCAUGGAAGAGAAGGUGGCCUCUACCUGUAAGCUAUCGCCUGAAGAGGGGUUUGCGUCUGAUCAGCUGGUUGGAGGGGUAACGGCCCACCAAGGCGACGAUCAGUAGCCGGUCUGAGAGGAUGAACGGCCACACUGGAACUGAGACACGGUCCAGACUCCUACGGGAGGCAGCAGUGGGGAAUCUUCCGCAAUGGGCGAAAGCCUGACGGAGCAACGCCGCGUGAGUGAUGACGGCCUUCGGGUUGUAAAACUCUGUGAUCCGGGACGAAAAGGCAGAGUGCGAAGAACAAACUGCAUUGACGGUACCGGAAAAGCAAGCCACGGCUAACUACGUGCCAGCAGCCGCGGUAAUACGUAGGUGGCAAGCGUUGUCCGGAAUUAUUGGGCGUAAAGCGCGCGCAGGCGGCUUCCCAAGUCCCUCUUAAAAGUGCGGGGCUUAACCCCGUGAUGGGAAGGAAACUGGGAAGCUGGAGUAUCGGAGAGGAAAGUGGAAUUCCUAGUGUAGCGGUGAAAUGCGUAGAGAUUAGGAAGAACACC